AUUGAACGCUGGCGGCAGGCCUAACACAUGCAAGUCGAGCGGAUGAAGGGAGCUUGCUCCUGGAUUCAGCGGCGGACGGGUGAGUAAUGCCUAGGAAUCUGCCUGGUAGUGGGGGAUAACGUCCGGAAACGGGCGCUAAUACCGCAUACGUCCUGAGGGAGAAAGUGGGGGAUCUUCGGACCUCACGCUAUCAGAUGAGCCUAGGUCGGAUUAGCUAGUUGGUGGGGUAAAGGCCUACCAAGGCGACGAUCCGUAACUGGUCUGAGAGGAUGAUCAGUCACACUGGAACUGAGACACGGUCCAGACUCCUACGGGAGGCAGCAGUGGGGAAUAUUGGACAAUGGGCGAAAGCCUGAUCCAGCCAUGCCGCGUGUGUGAAGAAGGUCUUCGGAUCGUAAAGCACUUUAAGUUGGGAGGAAGGGCAGUAAGUUAAUACCUUGCUGUUUUGACGUUACCAACAGAAUAGGCACCGGCUAACUUCGUG
rnacentral:rRNA from 1 species